GUAUUAACGAAGAGUCCCAAACUAGGACGAAACAGCUGUCCAGUAC
rnacentral:hammerhead_ribozyme from 1 species